rnacentral:lncRNA from 1 species
UCUUCUUCUAUCUUGAGAUCAUCAAUUCCUAGCUUUGCGCUGAUUUCCCUUCAUUGUGGUUGUCAAAAAACAAGGUCGAAGAAACCACCAGAACCAAGGUAAAACCCUAGCUUUAUCUCUCCUAUCAUCUCCUUUCUUUCCACAGCCUUAGGCACCCCUUGUUGGUCGAUACUUUAUCGAAAACUGACCAAGAUCCGCAUCCCUAUUUUCACAGCCAUCUUCUUCAUCCUG